AAGACUGGGAUACCACUUGGAAACAGGUGCUAAUACCGGAUAACAACAUGAAUCGCAUGAUUCAAGUUUGAAAGGCGGCGUAAGCUGUCACUUUAGGAUGAGCCCGCGGCGCAUUAGCUAGUUGGUGGGGUAAAGGCCUACCAAGGCAAUGAUGCGUAGCCGAGUUGAGAGACUGAUCGGCCACAUUGGGACUGAGACACGGCCCAAACUCCUACGGGAGGCAGCAGUAGGGAAUCUUCCACAAUGGACGCAAGUCUGAUGGAGCAACGCCGCGUGAGUGAAGAAGGUUUUCGGAUCGUAAAGCUCUGUUGUUGGUGAAGAAGGAUA
rnacentral:rRNA from 1 species